rnacentral:rRNA from 1 species
UGGCGGCGUGCCUAAUACAUGCAAGUCGAACGGUCUUUCUAUGGAAGCUUGCUUCCACUGAGAAGAUAGUGGCGAACGGGUGAGUAACACGUGGGUAACCUGCCCAUAAGAGGGGGAUAACAUCCGGAAACGGGUGCUAAUACCGCAUAGUUUUCUUGAUCGCAUGAUCGGGAAAGGAAAGACGGCCUUUGUGCUGUCGCUUAUGGAUGGACCCGCGGCGUAUUAGUUAGUUGGUGAGGUAAUGGCUCACCAAGACGAUGAUACGUAGCCGACCUGAGAGGGUGAUCGGCCACAUUGGGACUGAGACACGGCCCAAACUCCUACGGGAGGCAGCAGUAGGGAAUCUUCCGCAAUGGACGAAAGUCUGACGGAGCAACGCCGCGUGAGUGAAGAAAGGUUUUCGGAUCGUAAAACUCUGUUGUCAGAGAAGAACAAGUUGGAGAGUAACUGCUCCAGCCUUGACGGUAUCUGACCAGAAAGCCACGGCUAACUACGUGCCAGCCGCCGC